UCAAGUGCAACAAAACACAGUUUGUCUCACUCAAUUGUGGAAGAAAAAGUCCAUAUAGGUUUUUGAACCAAGGUAUGUGAAGUCCAUGACAAUUUUUUCCCAAGUCAUGCCUUGUAAUGAUUAUAGGACCUUGUAAUCGAUUACCAUGGGUUGUUCUCUAGUUUGUACAAAAAGGUUACUUGUGACUCCCCAACUAGGAGAACUUGACUCCCAG
rnacentral:lncRNA from 1 species